CAAUAGCAUAUAUUAACGUUGUUGCAGUUGAAAAGCUCGUAGUUGAACUUUUGGUAGGAGCGACCUGGCCUUGGGCGCAUGCCCUUGUUUGCCGUGUGUCGUGUCUGGCCAUCCUUUUCUUCUUUUUGGAAGGAAUCUUUUACUGUGAGUAAACUGGAGUGCUCAAAACAAGACGUUUGUUUGGUACAUUAAAGCAUGGAAUAUUAAGAUAGGACCUGGUUACUAUUUUGUUGGUUUGCAUAGCUAGGUAAUGAUUAACAGGGACAGUUGGGGGUAUUCGUAUUUAAUUGUCAGAGGUGAAAUUCUUGGAUUUAUGAAAGACGAACGACUGCGAAAGCAUUUACCAAGGAUGUUUUCAUUAA
rnacentral:rRNA from 1 species